CGCACGCACGCACGCACGCCUAACUGAGAGGCUUAGGCUGGAGGGUCAUGAGUUCCAGGUCUUGUGAGGAGGUGGAAUUCACCUGGGCUAUUUCUGGAGGCUCCCUUUCUUGUCUCAGGGACUCUAGGCACCUGCUUUCUUAGUUUCAGAGACCCCAGCAGCUGGGCCUGGACCCAGUUCCACCGUGGUGAUCUUGCUUUCUGCCUUUUGUUUAGAAGAGGCUAAUUAAUGAAAUUUUCAUUCAGGCCGGCCAUGAUCUUUCGAGAACGUCAUGGGAGCCAAGGAGUAAGAGCAGCCGCUUUCCGGAUGUUUCUCUCUAAUGGGAGUGCCUUGUCAUCUUUCCAGUGUCAGAUCUCCUGAAACUGGAAUUCCAGGAAGUUAGGAGCUUGCCACGUGGAUGCUGGAAAUUGAACCCAGGUCCUCUGGAAGAGCAGCCAGUGCUCUUAACCGCUGAGCCAUCUCGCCAGUCCCCAAGUCCUGAGUUUCUAAUUCAGGGACUAGGGCAAACCCCUCUGCUGGUCCAGCUGGGCAACCCACAUGGAGACUCCGCAGCUGCACACUUCCUGGUCCCGUGGUGGGAGAACAGCGUAGCCGAGCUAAUAAAUUUUCAGCCCCUGGA